rnacentral:sRNA from 1 species
UUCCGUAGGUGAACCUGCGGAGGGAUCAUUACCGAGUUUACAACUCCCAAACCCCUGUGAACAUACCACUUGUUGCCUCGGCGGAUCAGCCCGCUCCCGGUAAAACGGGACGGCCCGCCAGAGGACCCCUAAACUCUGUUUCUAUAUGUAACUUCUGAGUAAAACCAUAAAUAAAUCAAAACUUUCAACAACGGAUCUCUUGGUUCUGGCAUCGAUGAAGAACGCAGCAAAAUGCGAUAAGUAAUGUGAAUUGCAGAAUUCAGUGAAUCAUCGAAUCUUUGAACGCACAUUGCGCCCGCCAGUAUUCUGGCGGGCAUGCCUGUUCGAGCGUCAUUUCAACCCUCAAGCACAGCUUGGUGUUGGGACUCGCGUUAAUUCGCGUUCCUCAAAUUGAUUGGCGGUCACGUCGAGCUUCCAUAGCGUAGUAGUAAAACCCUCGUUACUGGUAAUCGUCGCGGCCACGCCGUUAAACCCCAACUUCUGAAUGUUGACCUCGGAUCAGGUAGGAAUACCCGCUGAACUUAAGCAUAUCAAUAAGCGGAGGAA